rnacentral:misc_RNA from 1 species
GAUGAAGAACGUCGCGAAAUGCGAUACGUAAUGUGAAUUGCAAAUUCAGUGAAUCAUCGAGUCUUUGAACGCACAUUGCGCCCCCUGGUAUUCCGGGGGGCAUGCCUGUCCGAGCGUCAUUGCUGCCCUCAAGCACGGCUUGUGUGUUGGGCCCCGUCCUCCGAUCCCGGGGGACGGGCCCGAAAGGCAGCGGCGGCACCGCGUCCGGUCCUCGAGCGUAUGGGGCUUUGUCACCCGCUCUGUAGGCCCGGCCGGCGCUUGCCGAUCAACCCAAAUUUUUAUCCAGGUUGACCUCGGAUCAGGUAGGGAUACCCGCUGAACUUAAGCAUAUCAAUAAGCGGAGGA